AUUUAAGAUAGAGAACCAGCAAGGACCUACUGCAUAGCACAGAGAACUCGGCUCGAUAUUCUGUAAGAACCGAAAUGGGAAAAGAAUUUGAAAAAGAAUUGAUACAUGUACUUGUAAUCACUUUACUGUAAACCUGAAACUAAUAUAACAUUGUUAAUCAACUAGGCUCCAAUAUAAAAUCAACAUUUCUUUAAAAAUUUCAGGAUGGAGAAGUGAUGCAUAGAACUACGUUUUUUGGCAUGGAAAUGAAAUAUGGUAUUCAUGCAGUGCACUUAGUCAUUCCGUUGUAAGAGCCUGGUGGGCUACGGUCCAGUGAGUCUCAAGGAGUUGGACAUGACUGAGUGACUAAGCACAGCACAAAAUGAAAUGUAAAUAAAACUUAAAGAUGAACAAAAACUGGGAAAAAUAUUCCCAUAUUCCAAAGGGCUAAUCUCUCUAAUACAUACAGACCUUCUUGUUAAAAGUCCUAUGACCAAUAACCCAGAACAGUAAUAGACUAAAGUCAUGAACUGACAAAUUCACAGAAAUAUAAAUAGUAUUUAAAUAGAUGAGAAAUGCAAGUGGAAACCAUGAAAUAAUGUGUUUGCCAAUCAGACUGUCAAAGAUGAAAAGGUUGAUGAUAAUGCAGGAAGGGAGUCAGUCUCACGUGUGUUUGCCCAAAUUGUAUGGGAGGGUUUGUUGUCAGAUUGCCUACAGAGGAGCAUAUGUAAUGAUCUAUCAAAAUGUAAACAGUCCACAUCCUCUGACCUAGAAGUUUCACCUCUAUAAAUUUUUCCUGGUGAUACACUUGCACAUGUGUGAAAUGAUUUAUUACAUUGUUUGUAAUUGCAAAAAAUGGCAACAAAUUAAUAUCCCUUGAUAGGGGCUUGAUAAAAUAAAAUAUGAUACAUUCAUGGAAUUGAAUACCAGAUAGUGGUUUUAAAGUGAGGUCAUCUCUUUGUGUAUACUGGAGAGCCACAAGACAAAUCAUAGGGCAAAAAAUGAUGUGUGGAAUAGUGGAAUAAUGUGUGAAAUAAAUGCUUCCAUUUAUAGAGGGGGAGAAAAGAAUAGUGUACAAUACAUAUAUGCUUAUUUAUACAUAGAAAAUUCCUGAAAGGAGAGAAACAGA
ensembl:lncRNA